rnacentral:rRNA from 1 species
GACGAACGCUGGCGGCGUGCCUAAUACAUGCAAGUAGAACGCUGAAGAGAGGAGCUUGCUCUUCUUGGAUGAGUUGCGAACGGGUGAGUAACGCGUAGGUAACCUGCCUUGUAGCGGGGGAUAACUAUUGGAAACGAUGGCUAAUACCGCAUAACAAUGGAUGACACAUGUCAUUUAUUUGAAAGGGGCAAUUGUUCCACUACAAGAUGGACCUGCGUUGUAUUAGCUAGUAGGUGAGGUAAUGGCUCACCUAGGCGACGAUACAUAGCCGACCUGAGAGGGUGAUCGGCCACACUGGGACUGAGACACGGCCCAGACUCCUACGGGAGGCAGCAGUAGGGAAUCUUCGGCAAUGGGGGCAACCCUGACCGAGCAACGCCGCGUGAGUGAAGAAGGUUUUCGGAUCGUAAAGCUCUGUUGUAAGUCAAGAACGGGUGUGAGAGUGGAAAGUUCACACUGUGACGGUAGCUUACCAGAAAGGGACGGCUAACUACGUG